rnacentral:piRNA from 1 species
UCCUAAGGAUUCUUGGCUGGAACACAAAG